CGAUGACCAAAGUUCAUUUAUCUAAUGUGCAGCAGUUAUAUAUGCUGGAAAUCAUGUGCUUCACAAUUAUCUGUGAUUCCAGGUCUUGGUUGCAUUGAUAACUUCUCACGCUACAAGCUGCUAGCAAAAGUGCUGAGUUCUUGGACAAUUGAGGAAGUUGAGGAGGGAAACUUCAUAUAUAAGCUUCAAACGUUCUUCAAAUACUCCAUGGCUGGAGGGACGGAAUUUCCACUCUGCAAAGCUAAGUGGCGGUUUUACCCUUCUGUUUCUCUCAUUUACGGGAUGCCAUCAGUCAA